CGCUCUCUUUUCCUUCACCCCCGGCAACCCGAGAACACAACCAUAGAGGCUUCUCAAUACUCAAAUGUCCCCUCCUCGACUCCUCGGUCCUCCGGUAGUGACCCGGAAAUGAAUUUCAGCGCGCCAUUUUGAAGGACAUCUCAUUUCUCGAAAUGCACACCGAGGAUCGAGCGUCGAGGAGGCUCUCUGGAGGAGCUAUAACCGAGGAUACACUGAUGGUUCCUCCACGGCUCCUCCGCGGAUGCAUUUCCGGGAACGGUGGAGUAUAAAAGAGGCGUGACACACCGCUGGAUUCAUUUAAAAACCAUGGCGGGAGCAAAGCACACGUGGACAGAGGAGGAAACACUGACCCUUAUUAAAGUGAGGGUCGAGAAUGACGAGCUUUUCACAGGCCGAAGGCACACUGCCAAGAAAGCCUGGGAGGAAAUUCUAAACAACAUCUGUCCAGGGACUACAGACGAAAAAUAGCCUGUUGGCUAACUCUGGCGCAUUUACAGAAAUGUCAAUCAAUGUGCACUGUCCCUGCCAAAUAAAUAUAUAAAUAAAUAAAUAAAUAAAGGCCCUUGGGCUAUUCGGUUCUGUAAGCCCCACACAGAUCAGCAAAAAGUGGGACAACUUGAAACGAAAAUACAAGGAGUUGAGAUGCCCCCCAACUGGGACAGGGACCGACAGGGGAGAGGCCACAGCAGCCACAUGGCCAUAUUUUACGGCCAUGCAUGAGGCCAUCGAUGGGAGGCCAUCCAUCGACCCUCCCACCCUGAUGGACUCGGCUGCUGUUGCUUCUGGCAGUGGCUCAACAUCCACUGAGGCUGUCCAGAGCCAGGCCACAGUGGAGGAUGAGGAGGCCGCCAAGUCUGGCUCGGACAGCCAGGAGGAUGUUGAGCCAUCCACCUCUGCCGGUCCCCCUCCCCG